UACGGCGUGCUAUAAUGCAGUCGAACGAGUUCUCGUUGAUGAUCGGUGCUUGCACCGAGAUUCAACAUGGAACGAGUGGCGGACGGGUGAGUAACACGUGGGUAACCUGCCCUUAAGUGGGGGAUAACAUUUGGAAACAGAUGCUAAUACCGCAUAGAUCCAAGAACCGCAUGGUUCUUGGCUGAAAGAUGGCGUAAGCUAUCGCUUUUGGAUGGACCCGCGGCGUAUUAGCUAGUUGGUGAGGUAAUGGCUCACCAAGGCGAUGAUACGUAGCCGAACUGAGAGGUUGAUCGGCCACAUUGGGACUGAGACACGGCCCAAACUCCUACGGGAGGCAGCAGUAGGGAAUCUUCCACAAUGGACGCAAGUCUGAUGGAGCAACGCCGCGUGAGUGAAGAAGGCUUUCGGGUCGUAAAACUCUGUUGUUGGAGAAGAAUGGUCGGCAGAGUAACUGUUGUCGGCGUGACGGUAUCCAACCAGAAAGCCACGGCUAACUACGUGCCAGCAGCCGCGGUAAUACGUAGGUGGCAAGCGUUAUCCGGAUUUAUUGGGCGUAAAGCGAGCGCAGGCGGUUUUUUAAGUCUGAUGUGAAAGCCCUCGGCUUAACCGAGGAAGCGCAUCGGAAACUGGGAAACUUGAGUGCAGAAGAGGACAGUGGAACUCCAUGUGUAGCGGUGAAAUGCGUAGAUAUAUGGAAGAACACCAGUGGCGAAGGCGGCUGUCUGGUCUGUAACUGACGCUGAGGCUCGAAAGCAUGGGUAGCGAACAGGAUUAGAUACCCUGGUAGUCCAUGCCGUAAACGAUGAAUGCUAGGUGUUGGAGGGUUUCCGCCCUUCAGUGCCGCAGCUAACGCAUUAAGCAUUCCGCCUGGGGAGUACGACCGCAAGGUUGAAACUCAAAGGAAUUGACGGGGGCCCGCACAAGCGGUGGAGCAUGUGGUUUAAUUCGAAGCAACGCGAAGAACCUUACCAGGUCUUGACUUCUUUUGAUCCCUUGAAAAAUCAGGUUUCCCUUCGGGGCAAAAUGACGGGGGGGGGCUGGUUGCCUCCACUCCGGGCCCGAGA
rnacentral:rRNA from 1 species